CUAUUGUUUUAAAGGGGGAGACAAUGAUUUUAUCAAAGCUGUCGUAGAAGUUUUAAAUAGUCUAGCCGAAGAUAAGAAGAAGAAUGAGACUGCCAUGGAGAUUCAGAGAGUUUUGAUAAGAAUCAACAAAACAUUUAAAGAAAUAAGACAAAAUAAUAGGAUUAGAAUACCAUGUGUUACUUCUUCACUAACAAAGCAGCUGAUUUUAUUUUGAAUUCAACACUUGAGUCAGGCUAUUAUUUCAAUUUGGAAUUAUUUUUAAUUAUAGAAUUUGCAGAAUUUCUUGUGCCUGAAUGUUUUUAUAAAUUCCAUGUUUAUUCUUUAUUUUUCUGUUCUGUGCAGCGGCAAACAUUUUCUAUUACAAGGAAGAAUGCAUAUUUUCAACAGAAUGCACUGUGAAGCACACAACUCAAUAGACCAAUUUCGAGUUCAUCCGUCACUGGAAAAAACUCGUCAUUUAUACACGCCUUUAUGAUGUCAUUUACCAGAUAGAGGGGGUCGCCUGUAUCCCUGCACUAUUUACGUUCAUCAAGCAUCUUAAUGAUCGUCAUUGUGCAGGAUAAACUAGAAAUAAUGGUUGUUCUGUAGAUACUUGAUGACAAUUCCCUAAUGACAGCAAUGCUGAUUGUCAAUUUUGAGAAUUCAAUUUGCCGAAUAAUUCGUACAAUAUAGAAUUAUAGUUUUCCAACCACUCGCUCAAAAUUGGAAUGGAAGUGACGAGUCCCCUUACACGCACAAAUGACAUUCACUAAAACCAGAGUUUUUGACGGAAAUGCAUCGAACUCGAAAGUUGUCUAUUAAUAUUAAUCUAUACAAAAUACAUUGUAUGGAAAGUGUAACGCAAUGCUGUUAAUUCAGAAUUAUUGGGUGCAUUUAUUAUUGCGAUUUUGCCAUUUUAAAAUUAAAUGUGAUUUUAAUUUUUGCUAUAUGGGGGAAAAUCCUUUUCCCAACAUUUACCCUCAUGUAUAUUUUCACAAGAUAUUAUUUACAUAUUGGAAAUAUAAGAAUUUUGUAUUAUCUGUGGUGUCUCAAAUUUGAAUUGAAAAUCUUCCUUUAUAUAUUUUAUUUACUUAAUUUGUUUCAUUAUGAAUCAUCAUAUAAUAUAUCACUUGAAGCAUUAUUUUCUAUGGUUUGAAAAUGAAAAGACUGAAUAUUUCAGAAGUACAGUCUCUCAGAUCACUCCUUUCAUGUAGUUAGUACCUAGGGUAUAUUAGGUUGGUGUUUUAAGUCAAUAAAUUUAAAAAAUGUUUUGCUUUCCCCCAAAGCCUUCCAUAAAUAAGACAUAAAUAAGAUAGUGCCCUUUUAUUUCUGAGGUAUAAAUUAAAAAUAUACAUAUAUAUAUAUAUAUGUGUCAUUAAUCUGGAGCUGGAGGUAAACAUGUUCUUUUCCUUUCACAUUAAAGAUCAUUAAAUUAUUAUUCUUCUCUAUUGCUACAUGUCAACAUGUACUUUGCAAUACCAGCUGUUAAAGGGUACCCUGAUUUCCCAAGAAAUACGAGAAAAAUGUAAUAUUUCAAAAACAAACUCAUAUAUCCCAAGAACAAGAUUUUUAGUGGCGUUAUAGGUGUUGUACUGCUUAAGGUAGCACAAUACAAAGAUUUUUCAUCCCAAAUCAGACAUCUUUAAACUGAUGUAAUUCCACCCAUCUUUCUUUAAAUUUUAUAAAUGAGGUACCAAAAGAAAGAAGAAGGAUUAAUCUUUCAAAUUGUGAUAAUUUCAUUAUGACAUAUUUAUUACAUCAUUAAUUGUUAUGUAAUUAUUUGCCAUAUUGUGAUGUGUAUACUUGAAUGAAUUUAGCUUCUUUGUUAUUCAUAGCAUUCAAAAAUAUUUUAUAGAUUCUUACACAACACAGUUUGACCUCCAAAACUGUGUCUCAGAUUUUUCCUUUUGUAUUUCAUUCUCUCAUAAAUCUUCAAUGAAGUUUGCAACAUCAAUUCAUAAGAGAUCACUAAAUUCAAUUGGGUAUAAAAUUUGUUCUAUUGAUGUUUUUGGAAAUCUGAGACACAGUUUUGGAGGUCAAGCUGUGUUGUACAAGAAUAUAUAAAAUAUUUUGGGAUGCUAUGCAGAACAAAGAAGCUAAAUUCGUUCAAGUGUGGACAUCACAAUAUAGCAACUAGUUACAUGAUAAUUAAUUAUGUCAUAAUGAAAUUAUCACAAUUUGAAAGAUUAAUCUUUCUUCUUUCUUUUGGUACCUCAUUUAUAAAAUACAAAGAAGGAUGAAAUGAAUUACAUCAGUUUAAAGUUGUCUGAUUGGGAGUGACAAAAUCUUUGUAUUGUGCUACCUUAAACUAGUGUAACAGCAUAUAAUAAUAAGGUUUAGGGCGUUCAAUUUUUAUAAAAGUACACACAAUCUUUAGAAAAUCGAUUUUUAUACAGAUUGCUUGUACUUUUACUGACUGAUAGGACCAAAUGAAAUUUCUAAUUACUUUUUUAUUUCUCAGGAUAUUUCUCUGAAAUUUGAAAUAUAAUCAGAUUAGACCAUUGUUUACAUAAAUAUAUGAAUAAUAUAACAAAAUUGUCAAAGAUAGCGGUAAUGUGUCCUGACCAACGUUGACAAUGUCAGCUGACAAACCUCCACAAUGACCGGACCAAAUGAAAAUGCUAAUUACUUUUUAGCUCACCUGGCAAAGGGCCAAGUGAGCUUUCCUCAUCACUUGGCGUCCGUCGUCUGUCGUCGUCUGUCUUCGUUAACCGUUUUACAAAAAUCAUCAUUGGGGUAUGUAGUUUUAAAAAUGUGUCCUGUGACCUGGCCAACUGACCAAGAUGGCUACCAUGGCUAAACAUAGAACAUAGGGGUAAAAUGUAGAUUUAGGCUUAUAACUCUGCAACCAAAGCAUUUAGAGCAAAUCUGAAAUGCGGUUAAAUUCUUUAGCAAAUCAAUAUCUAUCUGCCCUGAAAUUUUCAGAUGAAUCCUACAACUGGUUGUUGGGUUGCUGCCCCUGAAUUGUUAAUUUUAAGGAAAUUUUGCUGUUUUUGAUUAUUGUCUUAAAUAUUAUUAUAGAUAGAGAUAAACUGUAAACAGCAAUAAUGUUCAACAAAGUAAGAUCUACAAAUAGGUCAACAUGGCCAAUAUAGUCAGUUGACCCCUUAUAUAAGGAGUUAUUGCCCUUUAUAGUAAUUUUUUACCAAUUUUUUGUAAAUUUUUGUUAUGGUCUGUUUUAAACUUAGCCACAAUCAUUAUUGGGGUAUCUUGUUUUAAAAAUGUGUCCGGUGAACUGAUCAACUGACCAAGAUGGCCACCAUGGCUAAAAAUAGAACAUAUGGGUAAAAUGUAGAUUUUUGCUUAUAAUCCUGAAACCAAAUCAUGUAGAGCAAAUCAGACCGAGGUUAAUUUUUUAUCAAGUCAAGGUCUAUCUGUCGUGAAAUUUUCAGAUGAAUUGGACAUUCAGUUGUUGGGUGGCUCCCCUGAAUUGGUAUUUUUUAAGGAAGUUUUGCCGUUUUUGGUUCUUAUCUUGAAUAUUAUUAUAGAUAGAGAUAAACUGUAAAAAGCAAUAAUUUUAAGCAAAGUAAGAUCUACAAAUAAGUCAACCUGAUCAAAAUGGUCAGUUGACCCCUUAAGGAGUUAUUGCCCUUUAUAGUAAUUUUUUAUCAAUUUUUCGUAAUUUUUUGUAAUCUUUUACAAAAAUAUUCUCUGAAACUACUGAGCCAAAUUUAACCAAACUUGGCCACAAUCAUCAGUUGAACCCUUUAGGAGUUUUGCCCUUUACAGUAAGUUUUUGUAAAUUUUAACAAAAUAUUUUUCAGUGUAGCUAAUGGGCCAAGUUCAUUAUAGACAGAGAUAAUUGAAAGUAGCAAGAAUGUUCAGUAAAGUACAAUCUACAAACACAUCGCCAUCACAAACAACGAGCGACACAGUCUGCUGUUUUUGCAAUAUUUGCUCCAGUGGAAAUAUUAUUCCAGAACUUUGUAGUAUUUCUGGAUGGUAGGGGUAACAGUUCUCCUGUUUUUUUUUAUACAGCACCCGAUUUUAAACAAUGUAUGAUUCUAUACAACG
rnacentral:lncRNA from 1 species